rnacentral:lncRNA from 1 species
GCAGAGUCUAACAGUCACACGAUUAGCAGUAGACUGAAACCAGUGAGGAGGCGAUCUUCCGCCUCAAAUCGGGCACGCGCAUGCCACCGAUCUCCCCGCGCAGGCCCGCCCCACACCCUAGGAGCCGCGAUCCCAGCCCGCCCACCGUCCAGAUUUACCCCCUGAUCGAGCCGAUCGCGGUUUCCUACCUCCGGGAAAAUCACACAAGGAUCGCCAAAACAACGCCGAAACGGAGGGCGCGACAGGACGUACGUGCUACCUCAGAGACACCGCACCACCCAAGCCGAGCGGGGAUGGGUUCUCUUCUCUCGGAAGUAUGAUGAGAAACUGUUAGCGGAGCAGCUUCCUCCUUUUCUUCUCCCUCCCGAACAGUAGACUGUUUUCCAAUUUGAGAGAAAUGGGGAAGGGAAGACGGACCUUGUCAAGCACACUGAAGAGCUGCAUCCGGGAGGCGGCGGCUCGUGUUCCUCCUGCCAAGCGCCGACAGUUAGGACGAGGAGGAGAAGGGGCGGGGCAGCCACGGAG